rnacentral:rRNA from 1 species
CCUACGGGAGGCUGCAGUGGGGAAUAUUGCACAAUGGGGGAAACCCUGAUGCAGCGACGCCGCGUGAGUGAAGAAGUACUUCGGUAUGUAAAGCUCUAUCAGCAGGGAAGAAAAUGACGGUUCCUGAUUAAGAAGCUCCGGCCAAAUACGUGCCAGUAGCCGCGGUAAUACGAAGGGGGCAAGCGUUAUCCGGAUUUACUGGGUGGAAAGGGAGUGUAGACGGCAGCACAAGACUGGAGUGAAAUGCCGGGGCUUAACCCCGGAACUGCUUUGGAAACUGUGCAGCUAGAGUGCAGGAGAGGUAAGUGGAAUUCCAAGUGUAGCAGUGAAAUGCGUAGAUAUGAGGAGGAACACCAGUGGCGAAGGCGGCUUACUGGACUGUAACUGACGUUGAGGCUCGAAAGCGUGGGGAGCAAACAGGAUUAGAUACCCCUGUAGUC